rnacentral:lncRNA from 1 species
UAUCCGAGUAAUUAUUCCUGCUGUUUGAAAAAAGUCGAAUUUUGAAUUGAACGAGAUUCAAGUAAGCCAUCACGCACACUAACAAGCUGGAAAUAUGCAGAAGGUAUUUGUUUGGUUGGUUUAGUGUAUCCUUGAUCCUAGCUAGUUAGCAUGCGCGCGCCCAUUUUUGUUUCUUUUGAUUGGACGCUAUUUUUUUUCUUUUUUCUGUACGGAGUACAUACAUUUUUCUUUUUCUUUUUCUCUUUUCUUUUUUUUUUUUUCAUGCAUAUUGUUUCCCACGCAAGCCAAAAUAUCGUUUAAUCUUUCCCUUUCUAUUUUUCUUCUCAAGAUGAGAGUGUUUUUACUUCUCGGACCUCUUCUUUCUGUUAAUGACCCCUCGCGGACUUGUGCGCCGCUGUCAAUGCCCGUGAAACCCAUUUCUAUAUGUCUGUACAUAUGUACGGUAACUACGUAGUUGCGAGUCGCAGGCAUUCCAACCAUCCGAAGAGCUGGCUUUUUCUCGGUUCGUCUCAUUUGUCACGGCCUAUUUCGAGUCGCGCUGGCUGAUGCAUUGCAUAUUUAUGCACACACUGAACUGCCAAUUCGGUGUCAAAGGCAAGGCAUGCAUUGUGUGCGUUGUACAGUACGUUGUCGGCGUGUUGUUGGGCUUUUAAUGGCUUGUUGGUGGCUGUUUCGGUGGCAUGCAGCCAACUCGAAUCUUCAAGAAAUAGGAAGGACAAGGGUUCUAAUCUAGAUUCCCUUCUGAAAUCUACCAGAUGAGAUAUGAGCUGGUGGGAUGCAUGAUGUCAUUGCAUAUCUAAUUACCAGGAUCAACAGGACGGAAGGAACUUGCGGUGGGCAAAAACAACUCGAGAAGAGCUGAAAUAAGAAAAUCUUUUGCUUCAUGGAUACUACGUCGAGCAAACUACGACAAAACACGUGUGGCAUCAUAAUCAUCAUGCCGAUGGAUGCUGGCAGACAAAAUAUUGUAAAUUGGGCGUGAUACAAACGCGUCGUGUCUUGAAUCUGGAACUGGGAGUUUAUUUGGACUAUCGUUAGUGAGCAUAUUGAUAGAUGUCGUUGUCAAGGAAUAUUCUACAAGGUAACGGACUUUGGUAGAAGGCACUAAAUUUCUAGACACUACAGUGUACUCAGAAAAACAUCCAAACAAAACCACACGAGAAACACUGCCACACUCGUACACACUCACCUGGCGAUCAGAUCGCAAGACAGUGCGCGUGGUUAAAAGAACAAUCCUUGUCUGUUUGGGUUGACUAGAUGGUCUGCACCCCUCCUCAAUAGCUGUCUUCUUCACCGCUUUGUAUCAUGACUUUCUUUUCUGGGACGGAUUUACUCCUCAGGUAACGUAAUAUUCCGAACCGAAAGAAAAUCCAACCAUGAUUGGCACUGACUGACUAUCUUACUUCUUACUUUUCUGGGUCAAAGCACCAUAUGUAGGUACACACAUGUCGACACUUCGUUGCCACCAGUGCUUGACCCAUAUAGGUUGUCCCACCUUUGUCCUUUCUUCGCCUUGCAUAAAUAGAUCGGAUAGCAUACGUAGGUAGCGUCAAGACCUCAAACGUCGUAUGCUUACUAUCUGUUUGCCUGCUUGUCGAUGCCCACAUCAGUACAUGCGCAUAUUCAAACGAUUUUCCGGAACUGCUUUCGUUUUGUUUCUGAAUCCCUUCCAACAGGCUAAUUCCGUUCUUCGCCGGGAUAUCCGGGAAAGUUCGCCAACCUCAAAGAAAGAAUAAUAGACGAAAUAUGGAUCCGGAAUAUAAUGUCAUGUAUGAAUAGGCAACAU